rnacentral:lncRNA from 1 species
GAAGAAUGUGGACGGAAGGAUCCUUGGGGGUGAUAGAGAGGGCUUGAUUUGCUUCUGAGAGAGCGUUUUUGGUAUGUUGGACUUUACAUCGUUCCUUCUUUCUCAAUCGUUUAGUUCUGGUUCGUUUCUAUUCAUCCUUACCAAGUUUUUUCUCUAAUUUAUUCUUCAUUUAUGUUGUUUCAAUGGUUGUUUUUAUUCUUAUUUUGAACAUUGUAGUUUGGUUUUGAUUUUUGUUUGGUGUGUUGUUUAAUUGAAUUAGUGUUCUUCUAUUAUGUUGAUUUUUUCCAAACAUUGUGCCUAUUUUGUGGAAGAGAAGGGAUUUUUUUCAAAAAUUGUGACUUGCUUUUUUCCUUUAAUUUAAGAUUGCUUUUCAUGUGGUUUUUGUAAUGUAGCCCUGAAAUCGUGACUUGCAAAUCAUUAUUGGAUUAGUUAUGUAAGGAGCAAUAAAGAUUUCUUUGCACCUAAAAAUAGUUAUUAACUUAAUCUUUAGUGGCAUCUAAUUUGUUGUAGUAGGAGUAGACAUCAUGUAAACAACAGUAAAGAUUUAUUUCCAUCUGCAAAAGUGAGCCUUUACCACAAUCACAACACUAUGAUGCUUGAUUAUUAACAGUAGUUGAGAUGGACGAAAACAUAAGUUCUGGUUUUAGUUUUGUUGGUGAUUUUGAAAAUUGAUCUUAAGUUCUGGUUUUAGUUUUGUUUAACUGUUGAUGUUUAUGUCUGCAAUUCUAUUUUUCAUGCAAUUCUGUUUGUGCAUUUCGCUAUUUUGUGCAGUUCUAUGUUGGCUGUUUGUGGUGAUGCUUAUGUCGAGCUACGUUUUGCAUAUUAUAGUUUCUGCUUGCGGUUUUGUUUCUGCCCAGUUCUGUUUUUGUUUGCAUUUUAUGUGGUUAUGUUUUGUGAGUUUUUUGUUUAUGUUAGCAAGUUUUGUUUCAUCAUUUAUUUUUGUUUUUAUUUUAUUAUGCACCAAGGUAUCAAUGGAGAUGAUUAAAAUGAUGAUGAAUUAUUUCAAGAUGACAAUGAAGGCAAUGAAUUUGAAGAGGACGACAUAGAUGAUAAGUUUGAAGAUGACGGUGUAGAUGAUAAAUAUGAAGAAGACACACUUGAAUGAUUUAGAUGAUGAUUUUAGAUUAUGGUUUCUUGAAUGAUUUAGAUGAUGAUUUAGAUUAUGGUUUCUUGAAUGAUGUUUUUUUUAUUAGGCAUGUACUUGAUUGAAGCAUCAAAACUUCAACAAACUAUAUAUUUUGC